rnacentral:rRNA from 1 species
UACGUAGGUGACAAGCGUUGUCCGGAUUUACUGGGCGUAAAGAGCGCGCAGGCGGUCGAUCAAGUCGAGUGUGAAAGCCCCCGACUCAACUGGGGAGGGUCAUUCGAUACUGAUCGACUCGAAGGCAGGAGAGGGUAGUGGAAUUCCCGGUGUAGUGGUGAAAUGCGUAGAUAUCGGGAGGAACACCAGUGGCGAAGGCGACUACCUGGCCUGUUCUUGACGCUGAGGCGCGAAAGCUAGGGGAGCAAACGGG